UGGUCGCCAAUUUGUAAGUCAAUCUGGAUAAGAGCGUCUGCUAAAUGACUUAAA
rfam:Salmo salar isolate Sally breed double haploid chromosome ssa01, whole genome shotgun sequence.